GUUGGAUGAGUGGUUUAUCUCCCUUAGAAAUUAUGAUGCCCAGCUGCAUCAUUUACCAUAUAUGGUAAUAACAUGUGGCUACAUGUUAUUACAUGCAAAUGUUGAAACAAGGUAUCUCUCUCUCUCUCAUAUAUAUAUAUAUAUUGGAAAGUUUGGAG